rnacentral:lncRNA from 1 species
CAAACAAGACGCAAGCUAUACGGGAUAUUCUUAUAAAAAACAAAGAAAAACUUGUGGAAUUUUUGGAGAACUUUCACACGGACAGAACAGGUUCGUAGAUCGUAUUCGUAUUUCGAUAUUUUACCUCAAAAAUGUUUAAAAAAACCGUCCUGGUAACAUGUUGUGAAGCGCAUAUAGUGCCAUAGAACCCAACGUCAUUCGUUUCUAUACACAUGACUACGUAAAAGACUGAAUAAAGUUUAAAAAAAUAAUCGUACCAUAAACUUGUGACAUGAUUUUGUUGCUUGUCACAGCAACAAAAUGUUUUGUGUUCAUCCCCUUGCUUUUAUGAACAGUACUAAUAAAUUAAAGCCCCGUUUACACUACGCUCAAUUUGUGGUACGGCACGGAUAAAAUUGGUACCCGUACCACUUUUUUGGUUCUUGGACUACCUAUAUUUUGAGCCCCGUUUACGCUACGCUUGAUUUUUGGUACCGUACCACUUUUUUGGUUCUUGGACUACCUAAAUAGGUAGUCCAAGAACCAAAAAAGUGGUACGGGUACCAAUUUUAUCCGUGCCGUACCAAAAAUUCAGCGUAGUGUAAACAGGGCUUUAAUAACAUACAUAGAGUGUAACUGUAAGUUAAAUGACAACUGCGUGUAAAUUAAUUUAACAAAUAAAUUUGAUCGGUCAAUAUGUCUGUGCAGUAUAAAGUUAAUCGGGUAUUUAGUGUUUUUGUUCGACAAAUAGCCGAUGCCGACCGUUAUAAUCUACCACGUUUACUACUAUAAUAUUUAUCUUCAGUUGACUUUAUCGCAUCCUAACAUUAAUUUACCUUAGAUGAGAUACUAAAAGUAAGAUGGAAGUUUAAUGCAAUAUCGCUGUUCUUUUAGUAAUAAUUUUCUUUGCAUUUGUUUAACAGAAGAUGAACAAUUUACAGAUGAAAAGACAUACCUUAUAAAACAAAUCAAGGAACUCUCAUGAUUACGUUUUAUUCUUGUUUGUAAAAAGUUUAGUUUGUUAAUGACUAUACUUGUAAAUUCCCAACUGUACUGUAGUAAAAACUACCUUAAUUGCACGAUAUAAUUACCUUUCCCCUGAAGUUAUAACGGAAUGAACGUAUUUUCCAACAAUAAGCAGCUGAUAUCACUGACAAUAUUAGUCAAGAACUCAAGGACAGACCACAUAUUCAAGCCUUGCACUAUGACGUAUCAUCAAAAAUAAUCCGCCAUUUUGGGUGGCAAAAGUUCUCAAACAAAAGCAACAGCCGCAGUCAGUGCCACAGUCUUGCUUUGACGCCAUGUUUGAUUGUAAGUAACUAUUUUUAAUUUGCCACCCAAAAUGGCGACAAAUACGUGUUGUGACUUGCAAGAGCUCAAUAUUGUUACCGUAUAUCAUGUAUUGUUCCAUUGAUAAUGAAGAAUAUGUAGAAAGUAUUUGAACAGGAUUUUUGGUACCCUAAAAGGCGUAAAAUAUGCCAGAGCUCAAGAAACUUGUAAUGGAAGGAAUGGUAUAUUACUGAAAGCUAAACUAACAUUGUUAGCCAUGUAUUGUAUUAUUGUAGUAAAGAUUAAGAAGUGAUACAAGAUGCCUCGCUCGCCA